AGCAGCCGCGGUAAUUCCAGCUCCAAUAGCGUAUAUUAAAGUUGUUGCAGUUAAAAAGCUCGUAGUUGAAUUUCGGGAUCAAUAUUUCGGUCAUGCCGUUGGUAUGCACUGUUAUCAUUGAUUUCUCACCUUCUAAAGAACCGUAAUGCCAUUAAUUUGGUGUUACGGGGAAUUAGGACUGUUACCUUGAAAAAUUAGAGUGUUUAAAGCAGGCUCACGCUUGAAUACAUUAGCAUGGAAUAAUGAAAUAGGACGUUCGAUCUUAUUUUGUUGGUUUCUAGGAUUGACGUAAUGAUUAAUAGGGAUAGUUGGGGGCAUUAGUAUUCAAUUGUCAGAGGUGAAAUUCUUGGAUUUAUUGAAGACUAACCACUGCGAAAGCAUUUGCCAAGGAUGUUUUCAUUAAUCAAGAACGAAAGUUAGGGGAUCGAAGACGAUCAGAUACCGUCGUAG
rnacentral:rRNA from 1 species